rnacentral:rRNA from 1 species
UACAGAGGGUGCAAACGUUGCUCGGAAUCAUUGGGCGUAAAGCGCACGUAGGCGGCCCAGCAAGUGGGGAGUGAAAGCCCUCGGCUUAACCGAGGAAGUGUUUUCCAAACUAUUGGGCUUGAAUACUGGAGAGGGUCGCGGAAUUCCCGGUGUAGAGGUGAAAUUCGUAGAUAUCGGGAGGAACACCAGUGGCGAAGGCGGCGACCUGGACAGAUAUUGACGCUGAGGUGCGAAAGCGUGGGGAGCAAACAGG